GACGAACGCUGGCGGCGUGCCUAAUACAUGCAAGUCGAACGCAUUUUCUUUCACCGUAGCUUGCUACACCGAAAGAAAAUGAGUGGCGAACGGGUGAGUAACACGUGGGUAACCUGCCCAUCAGCGGGGGAUAACACUUGGAAACAGGUGCUAAUACCGCAUAAUUCCAUUUACCGCAUGGUAGAUGGAUGAAAGGCGCUUUUGCGUCACUGAUGGAUGGACCCGCGGUGCAUUAGCUAGUUGGUGGGGUAACGGCCUACCAAGGCUGCGAUGCAUAGCCGACCUGAGAGGGUGAUCGGCCACACUGGGACUGAGACACGGCCCAGACGCCUACGGGAGGCAGCAGUAGGGAAUCUUCGGCAAUGGACGCAAGUCUGACCGAGCAACGCCGCGUGAGUGAAGAAGGUUUUCGGAUCGUAAAACUCUGUUGUUAGAGAAGAACAAGGAUGAGAGUGGAAAGUUCAUCCCUUGACGGUAUCUAACCAGAAAGCCACGGCUAACUACGUG
rnacentral:rRNA from 1 species